GGCUGAUUAGCUCAGUCAGUUGAGCAUGGUGCUAACUACGCUAAGGUCGCGGGUUCAAUUCCCGUUUGGGCCC
rfam:Apaloderma vittatum contig31509, whole genome shotgun sequence.